rnacentral:rRNA from 1 species
AGAGUUUGAUCAUGGCUCAGGAUGAACGCUAGCGGGAGGCUUAACACAUGCAAGUCGAGGGGCAGCACGAGGUAGCAAUACUUUGGUGGCGACCGGCGCACGGGUGAGUAACGCGUAUGUAACCUACCCUCUACAGGGGGAUAGCCCGGAGAAAUUCGGAUUAAUACCGCAUAAUAAUAUCGAGAGGCAUCUUAAGAUAUUUAAAGUUUUAACGGUAGAGGAUGGGCAUGCGUAACAUUAGCUAGUUGGUAGGGUAACGGCCUACCAAGGCCACGAUGUUUAGGGGUCCUGAGAGGGUGAUCCCCCACACUGGUACUGAGACACGGACCAGACUCCUACGGGAGGCAGCAGUGAGGAAUAUUGGUCAAUGGGCGUAAGCCUGAACCAGCCAUCCCGCGUGCAGGAAGACGGCGCUAUGCGUUGUAAACUGCUUUUCCAGGGGAAGAAAACCCGCGACGUGUCGUGGCUUGCCGGUACCCUGGGAAUAAGCAUCGGCUAACUCCGUGCCAGCAGCCGCGGUAAUACGGAGGAUGCGAGCGUUAUCCGGAUUUAUUGGGUUUAAAGGGUGCGUAGGCGGAUUGAUAAGUCAGUGGUGAAAACCUGCAGCUUAACUGUAGACUUGCCAUUGAUACUGUUAGUCUUGAGUAUGGUCAAGGUAGGCGGAAUGUGUAAUGUAGCGGUGAAAUGCUUAGAUAUUACACAGAACACCGAUUGCGAAGGCAGCUUACUGGGCCAUUACUGACGCUGAUGCACGAAAGCGUGGGGAGCGAACAGGAUUAGAUACCCUAGUAGUCC